rnacentral:rRNA from 1 species
UUGACAUCCAGCGAACUUUCCAGAGAUGGAUUGGUGCCUUCGGGAACGCUGAGACAGGUGCUGCAUGGCUGUCGUCAGCUCGUGUUGUGAAAUGUUGGGUUAAGUCCCGNAACGAGCGCAACCCUUAUCCUUUGUUGCCAGCGAUUCGGUCGGGAACUCAAAGGAGACUGCCGGUGAUAAACCGGAGGAAGGUGGGGAUGACGUCAAGUCAUCAUGGCCCUUACGAGUAGGGCUACACACGUGCUACAAUGGCGCAUACAAAGAGAAGCGACCUCGCGAGAGCAAGCGGACCUCAUAAAGUGCGUCGUAGUCCGGAUCGGAGUCUGCAACUCGACUCCGUGAAGUCGGAAUCGCUAGUAAUCGUGGAUCAGAAUGCCACGGUGAAUACGUUCCCGGGCCUUGUACACACCGCCCGUCACACCAUGGGAGUGGGUUGCAAAAGAAGUAGGUAGCUUAACCUCCGGGAGGGCGCUUACCACUUUGUGAUUCAUGACUGGGGUGAAGUCGUAACAAGGUAAGCGUAGCGAG